GCUCUGUCACCCAGGCUGGAGUGCAAUGGUGCAGUGGCAUGAUCUCGGCUCACUGCAAACUCCGUCUCCCAGGUUCAAGCAAUUCUCCUGCCUCAGCCUCCUGAGUAGCCAGGAUUACAGGCGCCCACCACCACGCCCAGCUAAUUUCUGUAUUUUUAGUAGAGAUGGAGUUUCACCAGGUUGACCAGGCUGGUCUUGAACUCCUGACCUCAAGUGAUCCACCUUGGCCUCCCAAAGUGCUGGGAUUACAGGCAUGAGCCACCAGUCCCAGCCAGUAUCACAGCUCUUAAUUUGAAAAAUGGAAUGUUUGACUCCCGUAAGUCCAUCAGCAACAUCAAUGAAUGCUGCUUUCUAGUGGAACUCCCCCUGUAAUCAUCACACUAUUCCACAAGACACAGGGAACUACGUUGUUCUUUCUAUAAAGGAAUGACCUGUGUGCUGAUCAAGCCGACACGUCUCUUUGCUUCCCGACGUCCUGAUAUGGCAGCAAAGGGUGGUAGAAUGAAGUCAUUCCUGCAAAAGAAGCUGUGAGAGGAAAUACAGAUGCAGUGGCUGAAUAUGAAAGUGCUUAUGUUCCCAAAGGAAGAAAAUGCUAAAUCUCAAUUAGAGGUUGGAAGAAAUAAUGACGCAGUCUUUUUACUUUUGUUCUUGCUUUUGUGUGUAGUUUUGCUUCUUUUUUUUUUUUUAAUCUGUCUGGGUUUGCAAAUCUCUGAAUAAUAUCCACAAAGCCAUCAGGGGUUCCAGGUUCCAAACCCUGCCAUGUGUGAUGGUAAAGGUGGCUCACAUUUCCCAGGUCCUCCUAAGCUGUGGGUAGAACAGGCUCCUGUUUACACUCAUGACUGGAAUUUCCCUAGCCCGUCUACCUCCCUUUUAAGCACCUUUAAAUUCCCCUUAAUCAGUGUAAAAGUUCUCUAGGAAGGUCUUACGUGUGUUCAACAAAUUCCUCUUGACUACAAGGAGGUGGUCACCAUUUUCCUCCUCUGCUGCUCCAGCUAACUGGGUGUUAUCCAGCUUCCGGUCCGUAAGGAGUGACCCAGUGUCCUCUGAAGUCCCCACCCUAGUGACAUGCCUACCAAGGGCCAUGGCACUGUGGCUGUGGCCUGAAGUCAGCCCCCAGCAUGGAAAGCUGGGCUGAGCCGUGCUUUUUGAAGGGAGCUGGUGGGACACAGGCCCGGCUUGUGGCAGCACGCUGAAAUGUUUUCUGAAUUGAAGUCGUGUGCUCUCACCGCACAGCAGAGAUGGCAGUGAGACUGCUCUUCAAUGUGUACAUUUCCUCCAUUUCAGUACCUUGCUCAGGCCUCUGACGGCAGCAUGUGAGGGCUGAGGGCCAGGCCAGAGCUGAGGGCGGAGUGGCCAGCAGUGUGUGUGCCCUCGUGCAUCAGGUGUCCCUGCUGACCCUGGCAUUUGGCAUUGAGUCAGGCUGAUAAGCCUUGUCUCUGUCUGGUUUUCCGACAAUCCUUUCCCAGGAAACCUCUUGGGCAAGUUUGCAUUCACAGCCUCAGGCACUGGGACACAGGUUUGGGGUGGGCUAACCCACCUGGUCCUCCAGCAGCCCUAGGCAGUCGUGAAUCCUGCGGGGCUGCAGUUGAAGCGCAGGCCCAGACCCCGUCUCCCCAUCAGGGCUGAGAGAAGCUGCGCCGUCCUGGAGUGAGUUUCCCACGCCCGCUGCUAGAAGUCCAGUUCAACAGAACAGAGCCGGCCAGAGCCUUUGGGAAGGUCUUCACGGCAGAAAUGGAAAUUGUAGUUUCUAUAAAUGUUUGCCAAUAUUCUUUUUAUUGGCAUAUUGUACCCAUAAUAAAUUAUUUGGAACUGUUGUCAGUUGUAACUCAGUAAUUAUUAUUAAGACAAACCCUAUGGGGGCUGCUAAUUUGCUCUUAUGCAUUGGCAUUGCAAUUUUUUUUCUUUUUUUUUUUUUUUUUUUGUUUUGAGACGGAGUCUCGGUCUUUUCUUCCAGGCUGGAGUGCAGUGGCAUGAUCUCGGCUCACUGCAACCUCCACCUCCCGGGGGCAAGCAAUUCUCCUGCCUCAGCCUCCGGAGUAGCUGGGAUUACAGGCACCUGCCACUGCACCUGGCUAAUUUUUGUAUUUUUAGUAGAGAUGGGGUUUUACCAUGUUGGCCAGACUGAUCUCCAACUCGUGACCUCGGGAGAUCUGCCUGCCUCGGCCUCCCAAAGUGCUGGGAUUACGGUGGCUCACGCCUGGCCUGGAAUUGCAAUUUUGAUGCGCUACCCUGAAAGGAGAAGUGAGAGGAAGCAAAUGCUAUCAUCCUUGGUUAUGACUUUUUUAAAAUUAAAUAAUUGUUAAAAAAAAAAAAACUAUCUUUACCAUUCACUGAAUCUGCUGUAUGUAAAUGCAUCAACAAUAACAAAUGCAACAAAAGCAAACAAUCUUAUUUCAGACAGUGCUGUUUUAAGCACUUUACUUAUAUGCAACCAUAUAACCAUCAUGACAGCACGAGGAGAUUGAUACUGCUAGUUUCUCCAUUCUGCAGAUGAGGAAACUGAGGCACAGACUUAGAAACUUGAACUCAUUCUGAGGCAAGAUUUUAAGAACUAUAACCCUGCGGAUGCAAGAAUGUCUUCUCGCUUGUGAACUGCGUCAAUGGCUUUAACACCCAUAGUACACUGAACUCCUUUUGAGGAUCUUAAAAUUCCACUGCCAGUGUUAUUCAUUCACACUAUGGAUUUUGACCUAUUGGAAAUUGAGGAAAGUAGUGAAAUAAAUGUAAUGAGGCAGGUUGUUUUUAAAACUGGAAGGGAACAAAAAUAUAUACAAAACAUCAGAUUACAUCAUGUAUGAUAAUAGUAAAUUUUUCAUGAAGUUUUGCUUUAGUUGUGUGGUGUGUGUGUGUGGUGUGGUGUGUGUGUGGUGUGUGUGUGUGUGUGUGUGUGCACGUGGGUGCAUGCUAGGUAACCGUGUAACCUAGCUGGGUUGCAGUCUAAAGGAUUUGACAAACACUGUCCCCAGCCAGGCAGGGUUGUGAGAGUUUGGGCACUUGCUGAGUUAACUGACCCUCCCGGCGAACGUGUAACUGGUUCCUUAUCCUUAUCUGAGCUGAGGUAUCAUACCACUUGGCCUCUGCAGCACAAUGCCAGCUGUGAGCUUCUUUCACAGUGAGAGGGAAAAAAAAGCAUAUUAUCUUCAUGGCAUGAGUUAAGCACAGACCCCAGAAAUGGAGCCCCCUCCCUCCUCGGCAUGACUCACCUGUGAUGC
rnacentral:lncRNA from 10 species